UCCCUGAUGGUCCAGUGGAUAAGACACCCAGCUUUCACUGCAGGGGGCAGGGGUUCGAUUCCUGCUCAGGGAA
rnacentral:tRNA from 1 species